rnacentral:rRNA from 1 species
AUUGAACGCUGGCGGCAGGCCUAACACAUGCAAGUCGAACGAGUGGCGGACGGGUGAGUAAUGUCUAGGAAACUGCCUGAUGGAGGGGGAUCACUAGUGGAAACGGUAGCUAAUACCGCAUACCAUCAGAUGUGCCCAGAUGUGAUUAGCUGGUUGGUGGGGUAACGGCUCACCAAGGCGACGAUCCCUAGCUGGUCUGAGAGGGUGACCAGCCAAACUGGAACUGAGACACGGUCCAGACUCAUACGGGAGGCAGCAGGGGGGAAUAUUGCACAAUGGGCGGAAGCCGGGUGCAGCCAUGCCGGGGGUAUGAAGAAGGGCUUCGGGUUGUAAAGUACUUUCAGCGGGGAGGCGUUACCCGCAGAAGAAGCACCGGCUAACUCCGGGCCAGUCGCCGCGGUAAUUC